UGGGGUGUAGCUCAGUGAUAGAGCUCAUGCUUAGCACACAUGAGGCCCUGGGUUCAAUCCCUGGCAUCACAA
rnacentral:tRNA from 1 species